rnacentral:rRNA from 1 species
AACGAACGCUGGCGGCAGGCUUAACACAUGCAAGUCGAACGCCCCGCAAGGGGAGUGGCAGACGGGUGAGUAACGCGUGGGAACAUACCCCAAGGUUCGGAACAACUCCGGGAAACUGGAGCUAAUACCGAAUGUGACCGAGAGGUGAAAGAUUUAUCGCCUUGGGAUUGGCCCGCGUUAGAUUAGCUAGUUGGUGGGGUAAUGGCCUACCAAGGCUACGAUCUAUAGCUGGUCUGAGAGGAUGAUCAGCCACACUGGGACUGAGACACGGCCCAGACUCCUACGGGAGGUAGCAGUGGGGAAUCUUGGACAAUGGGCGCAAGCCUGAUCCAGCCAUGCCGCGUGAAUGAUGAAGGCCUUAGGGUUGUAAAAUUCUUUCGUCGGGGACGAUAAUGACGGUACCCGAAGAAGAAGCUCCGGCUAACUUCGCGCCAGCCGCCGCCGUAAGAC